CAGGGCACACAGGGUCGCGCCAAUCCCACUCCCUGAGACGCUAGCACAGACGCCCGAGGCCAUAAGGCUCAGCGGACCGGAGCGGCAAUCCCCGCCCUCGCCCCUCCAAACCUCUGCUCUCCGCCCAGGCUUCUUUUCUCCUGAAUCGAUCAUUGGGUGGUUGCGAGCCCCGAGCAAAGGAGACUCGUUCGGAAGGACUCGCAAGAUAUGGAAAUAACUCAAACUACUAUGGUAAGUGAAAUAGCGACGUCACAGUUGGGGACCGGAAGUGCUCGAGCCUCCACAGAGCGUCUGGACUCCACUUCCCAGAAUCCCCCGGACUCGCCCGUCUGAGACAAAGGGCCCGCGACUCAAACAGAGCAUCUGGACUCUGUCACUCUAACUCUGCAGCAAGCUUUCCUGAAGUGGAGUUGGAGAUAGCAUCUCAGUAAAUGUCCUGUACCCACUACUUAUUGAGGACACACCCUGUUGACUGCUAAAAAUUUUCAUGGGACACAAUUCUGGGAAGUGAGACAUUAGGAGAAGUGAGCUGUCCUCUCCUGACAAGAGAUGUGCUUGGCAGGCUGUGAGGAGAGGAGGAGUUACAAGAGUAAAAAGGUCUCUCUCUAGAAGAGAAUUCACUAAAGAGUCUGGCACUGUUUUCCACCUGAUAAGAGACACUUACCAUCUAUUCUCUGAAGCUUGCUACCUGGAGGCUUCAUUUGCGUAAUAAAAACCUUGGUCUCCAGAACCCCUUAUCAUAAUCCAGACACUCUUUUCUAUUGAUUCCAGGACUUUAGAUAACUCUUUCAACCAAUUGCCAAUGAGAAAAUUUUUGAAUCCACCUAU